CACCAAUCAAGCCUGGCUUGGUAUUAGGCGAGGAGGUCAAACUCCCGCCCCUAAGUCCUCGGCUGGACGGUUCGAUUCUCAGCGUUGUGGUUUAUUCAAUUCGCUGCGGAGACGACCGGUCGCGCCGUUAAACAUUUACUUCA
rnacentral:misc_RNA from 1 species